UUAAGACUUGGAUUUACUAUUCUACCUCAGCCCUUCUUGUAUAUUGAAAAUAAAACUACCAACUCUUCAGUUACCGGAGGAAAAAGAACUUCUCUGAUAUCAUCCCUCAGCACUGAUGUUCUCAUGGGAGCAGUGCCGUGUCUGCAUGUCUGUUUACUUAAAAACCUAGCAGACAGAAAGCUAUUAUUAAAGAAGAACUUCAAUAUUUAAAAGGAGCCCUACAUAGAACCUACCUACCAGUUACUUCAAGUCAACUCGAAGCCUUGCAUUCUGCUUAGUAUUUGAAUUAUUCCUCAAAAACCAAAAUAAAAUUUAAUGUAGCAUCGGAUUGAGGCAUCUUUCAAAAGUAACAUCUAUUUUGAAAACCAGCAGAGUUUGAAUUAAAAAACCAUUCUUGCACCGGUGCAGUGGCUCACGUCUGUAAUCUCAGCACUUUGGGAGGCUGAGCCGGGCAGAUCACAAAGUCAGGAGAUCGAGACCAUCCUGGCCAACAUGAUGAAACCCCGUCUCUACUGAAAAUACAAAAAUUAGCCAAGUGUGGUGGCGCGUGCCUUUCAUCCCAGCUACUCAGGAGGCUGAGGCAAGAGAAUCGCUUGAACCCAGGAGGCAGAGGUUGCAGUGAGCCGAGAUCACGGCACUGCACUACAGCCUGUGACAGAGCGAGACUCCAUCUCAAAAAAAAAAAAAAGCAAACCAUUCUUGGCUGGGUGUGGUGGCUUACACCUGUAAUCUCAACACUUGGGAGGCCAAGGUGGGAGGAUUGAUCCCAGAAGUUCGAGACCACCCUGGGCAACAUGGUGAGACUCCCAUCUCU
rnacentral:lncRNA from 1 species